GUAUUGGUGGUUCAGUGUUGGAAUUCUGGCCUUUUAUACAGAAGAUCUGGGUUUGAUUCCCAGCCAGUGCA
rnacentral:tRNA from 1 species